AUUGAACGCUGGCGGCACGCUUAACACAUGCAAGUCGAACGGCAGCAGCAAAAACUUUCGGGUUUUUGGCUGGCGAGUGGAGGACGGGUGAGUAAUGCGUAGGUAUCUGCCUCAUAGUGUGGGAUAACUCGAGGAAACUCGUGCUACUACCGCAUGUGGUCUCCGGAUUAAAGGGGGCCUCUGUUUACACGCUCCGCUAGUAGUUGAGGCUACGUCAGAUUAGUUAGUUGGUGGGGUAAAGGCUUACCAAGGCGACGAUCUGUAGCUGGUCUGAGAGGACGAACAGCCACACUGGGACUGAGACACGGCCCAGACUCCUACGGGAGGCAGCAGUGGGGAAUAUUGGACAAUGGGGGAAACCCUGAUCCAGCGAUGCCGCGUGUGUGAAGAAGGCCUGCGGGUUGUAAAGCACUUUCAGUAGGGAAGAAGGGGUGUUAGUUAAUAUCUAGCAUCAUUGACGUUACCUACAGAAGAAGCACCGGCUAACUCUGUGCCAGCCGCCGCAGUAA
rnacentral:rRNA from 1 species